AGGAAUAUUGGUCAAUGGACGGGAGUCUGAACCAGCCAAGUAGCGUGAAGGAUGACUGCCCUAUGGGUUGUAAACUUCUUUUAUACGGGAAUAAAGUGAUCCACGUGUGGAUUUUUGUAUGUACCGUAUGAAUAAGGAUCGGCUAACUCCGUGCCAGCAGCCGCGGUAAUACGGAGGAUCCGAGCGUUAUCCGGAUUUAUUGGGUUUAAAGGGAGCGCAGGCCGUCCUUUAAGCGUGCUGUGAAAUGCCGCGGCUCAACCGUGGCACUGCAGCGCGAACUGGAGGACUUGAGUACGCACGAGGUAGGCGGAAUUCGUGGUGUAGCGGUGAAAUGCUUAGAUAUCACGAAGAACUCCGAUUGCGAAGGCAGCUUACCGGAGCGCAACUGACGCUGAGGCUCGAAAGCGCGGGUAUCGAACAGGAUUAGAUACCCUGGUAGUCCGCGCGGUAAACGAUGGAUGCCCGCCGUUGGGUUUUAGAAUUCAGCGGCCAAGCGAAAGCGUUAAGCAUCCCACCUGGGGAGUACGCCGGCAACGGUGAAACUCAAAGGAAUUGACGGGGGCCCGCACAAGCGGAGGAACAUGUGGUUUAAUUCGAUGAUACGCGAGGAACCUUACCCGGGCUUGAAUUGCAGGAGAACGAUCCAGAGAUGGUGAGGCCCUUCGGGGCUCCUGUGAAGGUGCUGCAUGGUUGUCGUCAGCUCGUGCCGUGAGGUGUCGGCUCAAGUGCCAUAACGAGCGCAACCCCUGUCCAUAGUUGCCAUCAGGUCGUGCUGGGCACUCUGUGGAGACUGCCGCCGUAAGGUGUGAGGAAGGUGGGGAUGACGUCAAAUCAGCACGGCCCUUACGUCCGGGGCUACACACGUGUUACAAUGGGGCAUACAGCGAGUUGGAUGUGCGCAAGUACGUCCGGAUCAAUAAAGUGCCUCUCAGUUCGGACUGGGGUCUGCAACCCGACCCCACGAAGCUGGAUUCGCUAGUAAUCGCGCAUCAGCCAUGGCGCGGUGAAUACGUUCCCG
rnacentral:rRNA from 1 species